rnacentral:rRNA from 1 species
AGAGUUUGAUCCUGGCUCAGGACGAACGCUGGCGGCGUGCUUAACACAUGCAAGUCGAACGGAAAGGCCCUUCGGGGUACUCGAGUGGCGAACGGGUGAGUAACACGUGGGUGAUCUGCCCUGCACUCUGGGAUAAGCCUGGGAAACUGGGUCUAAUACCGGAUAGGACCGCAUGCUUCAUGGUGUGUGGUGCAAAGCUUUUGCGGUGUGGGAUGAGCCCGCGGCCUAUCAGCUUGUUGGUGGGGUAAUGGCCUACCAAGGCGACGACGGGUAGCCGGCCUGAGAGGGUGACCGGCCACACUGGGACUGAGAUACGGCCCAGACUCCUACGGGAGGCAGCAGUGGGGAAUAUUGCACAAUGGGCGCAGGCCUGAUGCAGCGACGCCGCGUGAGGGAUGACGGCCUUCGGGUUGUAAACCUCUUUCAGUAGGGACGAAGCGAAAGUGACGGUACCUACAGAAGAAGGACCGGCCAACUACGUGCCAGCAGCCGCGGUAAUACGUAGGGUCCGAGCGUUGUCCGGAAUUACUGGGCGUAAAGAGCUCGUAGGUGGUUUGUCGCGUUGUUCGUGAAAACUCACAGCUUAACUGUGGGCGUGCGGGCGAUACGGGCAGACUAGAGUACUGCAGGGGAGACUGGAAUUCCUGGUGUAGCGGUGGAAUGCGCAGAUAUCAGGAGGAACACCGGUGGCGAAGGCGGGUCUCUGGGCAGUAACUGACGCUGAGGAGCGAAAGCGUGGGUAGCGAACAGGAUUAGAUACCCUGGUAGUCCAA